AGAUCGUGCUGAGGGAAAUUUCUUAGCAAUCCCUUAUAUCUCUCCCAAGAUUCAUAUAAAGACUUGCCAUUUUCUUGUUGAAAGUUAGCAAUAUUCUUCUUCAACCU